ACCGGGUGCGUGCUAUACAUGCAAGUCGAACGAGUUCUCGUUGAUGAUCGGUGCUUGCACCGAGAUUCAACAUGGAACGAGUGGCGGACGGGUGAGUAACACGUGGGUAACCUGCCCUUAAGUGGGGGAUAACAUUUGGAAACAGAUGCUAAUACCGCAUAGAUCCAAGAACCGCAUGGUUCUUGGCUGAAAGAUGGCGUAAGCUAUCGCUUUUGGAUGGACCCGCGGCGUAUUAGCUAGUUGGUGAGGUAAUGGCUCACCAAGGCGAUGAUACGUAGCCGAACUGAGAGGUUGAUCGGCCACAUUGGGACUGAGACACGGCCCAAACUCCUACGGGAGGCAGCAGUAGGGAAUCUUCCACAAUGGACGCAAGUCUGAUGGAGCAACGCCGCGUGAGUGAAGAAGGCUUUCGGGUCGUAAAACUCUGUUGUUGGAGAAGAAUGGUCGGCAGAGUAACUGUUGUCGGCGUGACGGUAUCCAACCAGAAAGCCACGGCUAACUACGUGCCAGCAGCCGCGGUAAUACGUAGGUGGCAAGCGUUAUCCGGAUUUAUUGGGCGUAAAGCGAGCGCAGGCGGUUUUUUAAGUCUGAUGUGAAAGCCCUCGGCUUAACCGAGGAAGCGCAUCGGAAACUGGGAAACUUGAGUGCAGAAGAGGACAGUGGAACUCCAUGUGUAGCGGUGAAAUGCGUAGAUAUAUGGAAGAACACCAGUGGCGAAGGCGGCUGUCUGGUCUGUAACUGACGCUGAGGCUCGAAAGCAUGGGUAGCGAACAGGAUUAGAUACCCUGGUAGUCCAUGCCGUAAACGAUGAAUGCUAGGUGUUGGAGGGUUUCCGCCCUUCAGUGCCGCAGCUAACGCAUUAAGCAUUCCGCCUGGGGAGUACGACCGCAAGGUUGAAACUCAAAGGAAUUGACGGGGGCCCGCACAAGCGGUGGAGCAUGUGGUUUAAUUCGAAGCAACGCGAAGAACCUUACCAGGUCUUGACAUCUUUUGAUCACCUGAGAGAUCAGGUUUCCCCUUCGGGGGCAAAAUGACAGGUGGUGCAUGGUUGUCGUCAGCUCGUGUCCUGAGAUGUUGGGUUAAGUCCCGCAACGAGCGCAACCCUUAUGACUAGUUGCCAGCAUUUAGUUGGGCACUCUAGUAAGAAUG
rnacentral:rRNA from 1 species